rnacentral:snoRNA from 1 species
GUUCCGAUGAGCCGGUGCUCCGGGCCCCCGGUACAUCCGACGGCGGCGUCGGGAGGUAGGUGGUGAGAAUCACCUCCGAUGACCUCCCGCCCUCCAGCCGGGGGCACA